rnacentral:ncRNA from 1 species
UAAAACCGCCGCGUCGAAGGUCUCGCGCGAGCGAGCGAAGAGGGAACGCCGAAACAUCUGGCUGGAUUUCGCAUCCGGGAUGCAGACGGCGGCUGCCCCCGCAACUGUGAACGGCGAGCCGGAUGCACGAUGUCACUGACCGAGUAACCCUCGGUUGGGAAGGCGCAUCCGGCAAUGAACCGUGAGCCAGGAGACCUGCCUUCGUCGCACGAACCAU